rnacentral:rRNA from 1 species
GACGAACGCUGGCGGCGUGCUUAACACAUGCAAGUCGAACGAAGAGCGAUGGAAGCUUGCUUCUAUCAAUCUUAGUGGCGAACGGGUGAGUAACGCGUAAUCAACCUGCCCUUCAGAGGGGGACAACAGUUGGAAACGACUGCUAAUACCGCAUACGAUCUAAUCUCGGCAUCGAGGAUGGAUGAAAGGUGGCCUCUAUGUAUAAGCUAUCACUGAAGGAGGGGAUUGCGUCUGAUUAGCUAGUUGGAGGGGUAACGGCCCACCAAGGCGAUGAUCAGUAGCCGGUCUGAGAGGAUGAACGGCCACAUUGGGACUGAGACACGGCCCAGACUCCUACGGGAGGCAGCAGUGGGGAAUCUUCCGCAAUGGACGAAAGUCUGACGGAGCAACGCCGCGUGAGCGAUGACGGCCUUCGGGUUGUAAAGCUCUGUUAAUCGGGACGAAAGGCCUUCUUGCGAAUAGUGAGAAGGAUUGACGGUACCGGAAUAGAAAGCCACGGCUAACUACGUGCCAGCAGCCGCGGUAAUACGUAGGUGGCAAGCGUUGUCCGGAAUUAUUGGGCGUAAAGCGCGCGCAGGCGGAUAGGUCAGUCUGUCUUAAAAGUUCGGGGCUUAACCCCGGUGAUGGGAUGGAAACU